rnacentral:tRNA from 1 species
CCCUGGGUGGUGAAAAAUGUUAACACACUUGGCUGCUAAUCAAGAGGUUGGAAGUUUGAGUCCACCCAGAGA